rnacentral:rRNA from 1 species
AUUGAACGCUGGCGGCAGGCCUAACACAUGCAAGUCGAACGGUAACAGGGAUCAGCUUGCUGAUUCGCUGACGAGUGGCGGACGGGUGAGUAAUGUCUGGGAAACUGCCUGAUGUAGGGUGAUAACUACUGGAAACGGUAGCUAAUACCGCAUAACGUCGCAAGACCAAAGAGGGGGACCUUCGGUCCUCUUGCCAUCGGAUGUGCCCAGAUGGGAUGAGCGAGGAGGUGGGGUAACGGCUCACCUAGGCGACGAUCCCUCCCUGGUGUGAGAGGAUGAGCAGCCACCCUGGAAGUGAGACACGGUACAGACUCCUACGGGAGGCAGCAGUGGGGAAUAUUGAAGAAUGGGCGGAAGACUGAUGCAGACAUGCCGAGUGUAUGUAGAAGGACUUCGGGUUGUAAAGUACUUUCAGCGGGGAGGAAGGGAGUAAAGUUAAUACCUUUGCUUAUUGACGUUAAACGCAGAAGAAGCAACGGCUAAAUCAGUG